rnacentral:lncRNA from 1 species
AGAAUGAGAGUACUGAGCGUGACCACCUCGAGUAGUCAUAAGGAAGUCUACCUUCUCAUCGAUGACUAGCUCGAUGCUGCAGCUGUGUGUCUAGUUCUUUGACCUGAGGUACAUCGACAGUUUAUCUUGAGUGUGUUAUAGUUUGACUACACCAUAACUCGAUCUCCUAGCCAUUCAAAAUUCUGAGGUGUAUGUUGGCUAUAGCAUAUUCAUUGUAGGAAUCAGAUCGCACCAAGAAGGGAUCUAUCAACCUCGGUAGAUGAGAGGAGUGUUAUGAUCCAGGUGGUAUGCCCAAGGCCCAGGGGACCAAGGCUAAGGCCAAGGUCCAUCAUUCAUGAGGGCAUCAUGGAGGCUCUAGGGCUAGUUGGGCCCUAGGUUGAAAGAAUAUGGGCCUUUCGGGUUCUUGAGGUCUAGGUUAUGUGGGCCUCAAGAGACCAACUCUUUAUGGGCCA